rnacentral:rRNA from 1 species
ACUCAAAUGAAUUGACGGGGGCCCGCACAAGCAGUGGAUUAUGUGGUUUAAUUCGAAGCAACGCGAAGAACCUUACCGGGGUUUGACAUCCGACUAACGAAGCAGAGAUGCAUUAGGUGCCCUUCGGGGAAAGUCGAGACAGGUGGUGCAUGGUUGUCGUCAGCUCGUGUCGUGAGAUGUUGGGUUAAGUCCCGCAACGAGCGCAACCCUUGUUGUUAGUUGCUACGUAAGAGCACUCUAACGAGACUGCCGUUGACAAAACGGAGGAAGGUGGGGACGACGUCAAAUCAUCAUGCCCCUUAUAUCCCGGGCUACACACGUAAUACAAUGGCGUUUAACAACGGGAAGCGAAGGAGCGAUCCGGAGCGAAUCCCCAAAAGGCGUCUCAGUUCGGAUUGCAGGCUGCAACUCGCCUGCAUGAAGUAGGAAUUGCUAGUAAUCGCGGAUCAGCAUGCCGCGGUGAAUACGUUCCCGGGCCUUGUACACACCGCCCGU